AGAAUCUUCCUAAAUAAUAAAUAAAUAAUAAUAAUAUUAUAUAAUAAUGUAUUAAACUUAUUUUUAGUGAAUACAAAAUGUAACUUAAGAUCAGUGGAAGUGUUUGUUUUAAGUUGUGUGCACUCUAGAUAGCUUUAUCUUGUGCUUAAAUUUUGCGUAGGUUUUAUAUUCAAUUCGUGCAAAUGAAGCCUGGUAAAAGUGCAGACGUGCGGGAGGAGAUAGUGGAAAUUCAUUCCGUAGCUCGGUCUCCUUCUCCGAAGCACAAAACUAAGCCACGAUCGAGAAGUCGGUCCGGACCGCGAAAGUUGUCAAACGGGCACUCAGAGACCCCAGAAGUGGUCGAAACUCCUGCUGUUGAAGAACAGACUACAGACAGGUCUAAGCGUGACAGCUGGAUCAAGUCUGAGCAAGAAUCUUUAGACAUAGAGCUGCCUAUUCACGAUCAACUCAAGGAUCAAAUCCUAGGAUUUGUUGAAAAGGAAAUUAAGAAGUCUGAUAAGAAUCCCUCGUUCGUGUUUUAUUCUCAUGAUCCUACUGGUUUGGAUGAGAAGUUCAUGAAGAAUUUAUCCCGGCCAUCGAGUGGUCAUAAAGAAAAAAGGAGCCCGUCAUCUAGAAAGAAGAAGAGGCAUUCAUCAAAGCAUAGAGAUAGAGAUUUGCAUGAUUUUGAAAUACCUGGAUCUAGUCUUAGUGCGUUAGAAAAGGUUGAUGACUAUCUAAAGGAAUACAACAAGGAUGAGGUGGUAACUCUAAGUGGUGAACUAGAGAUAGAAGCAAAUGAUGUAGAAAACAACAAUGGGUCAUCGAAGGAGCACAAACCUAGAAAGACUCGACGGAAAGUGAGGGAAGAGAGACAAGACACCAAUGCCAAUGGGAGUGAUGUCAGCCCUAAGGUGUUCAAAGCUGGCAGUAAAUGUAAAGGUGGAGGCAAAGCAGUUCGCCCAACAGACUUAUCCACAAUGCUGGAAUCUCUUGAAUCCAGUAUGCCGUACCAUGACCAGUAUAUAGACAACCCCUUCUCCUCACCGUCACCUCUCACUUCACCCAACGAUGAGAGGCUCAAUCCCUUUGGCUCUCGGAGGCCGGAGAAGAUCUACAUGCAGGGUGGAGGAACAUUUAGAGCUGUGUCCAGGGAUAGAAUCUUGGAAUCACAGCAGUCUAGGAAUGAAGAUAAAUACUUGAGACUGGGCGACCUGACGCCGCUGGACGUGGCGCUGACCGCGCAGAAGGCCUGGCGCAGCUGCGCGUACGCCUGCCACGGCGUGCUCGGCGGCGUGUCGCUCAUGCACCUACUGCUGAUCAGCUAUUCUGACAGUUUGGACGCGGGGCAUCUGUCCUUCCACGCGGUCGUCACUAUGCCAUACGUCGCUACAUACUACUUUCUUUGUGUGUUGUGUCUGCUCUCAGUGUUGGAUAGGCUAGACGUUACAAGUUUGGACCUGAGCCGGGGCCUGCAGCCCUACUUCCAGCCCAUCGUGCUGGUGAUCCUGUACAUGGCUUGUCUGUUGGUGUGCACGGCGGCGCGCAUGUACGACGACCUCAUGGUGUAUCAGUACGCGCCAAUGGUCGCCAACUAUACCAAUGUUACCACUGUAAGUACUACUUCCAGCCCAUCGUGCUGGUGAUCCUGUACAUGGCUUGUCUGUUGGUAUGCACGGCGGCGCGCAUGUACGACGACCUCAUGGUGUAUCAGUACGCGCCAAUGGUCGCCAACUAUACCAAUGUUACCACUCCGACCAUCCCCUCGUUUUACCACACGUGGACGCACUUCUCGAUCUGGCGUGCCGUGUUGUCUAUCCUGGGCCUGGUGUACUUCGUGAUAUCCGAGCCCCCGGAUCUGGUGCUCGCCAACCUGACCAAACUGCUCCAUUACAAGCACUCGUUGCAGAGCAUCGGAUGAUGGCCUUGAGUGGGUUUUGGCUUUGACUUAGUUCAUAAUGCUCGGUGAUGUUUAUUAAACAAAUGCUAGCACGGUUUUGUGAAACUUUACGAAGAGCGCGAUGUCGUCUAUUUAAUUCAGUUGCGCCCACAAUUACGACCAGCGGGCGCAGCACGGUUGCAUUUUUAUCGCUUGACACCAUGCCUGUCACGUUCUAACAAGUAUGUAAGUGCGAAAGUGACGGGCAUAGUGACAGGCGAUAAAAAUUAAACCAUGCUGCGCCCGCAGUACUUAUUAAAUAUAUUAAUAAUGAGUCACUCACAUAUUUUAAGUCGAAAAAGUCAGAGUAUUUUAAGUUAAUAUGUCUGUGUCUCACGGAAGUUUUGUUAUUAAAACGACCAGUACUUG